UGGGGAAUAUUGGACAAUGGGGGCAACCCUGAUCCAGCCAUGCCGCGUGAGUGAUGAAGGCCCUAGGGUUGUAAAGCUCUUUUGUGCGGGAAGAUAAUGACGGUACCGCAAGAAUAAGCCCCCGGCUAACUUCGUGCCAGCAGCCGCGGUAAUACGAAGGGGGCUAGCGUUGCUCGGAAUCACUGGGCGUAAAGGGUGCGUAGGCGGGUUUCUAAGUCAGAGGUGAAAGCCUGGAGCUCAACUCCAGAACUGCCUUUGAUACUGGAAGUCUUGAGUAUGGCAGAGGUGAGUGGAACUGCGAGUGUAGAGGUGAAAUUCGUAGAUAUUCGCAAGAACACCAGUGGCGAAGGCGGCUCACUGGGCCAUUACUGACGCUGAGGCACGAAAGCGUGGGGGAGCAAACAGGAUUAGAUACCCUGGUAGUCCACGCCGUAAACGAUGAAUGCCAGCCGUUAGUGGGUUUUACUCACUAGUGGCGCAGCUAACGCUUUAAGCAUUCCGCCUGGGGAGUACGGUCGCAAGAUU
rnacentral:rRNA from 1 species